rnacentral:rRNA from 1 species
UUUUUAUGAGAGUUUGAUCCUGGCUCAGGACGAACGCUGGCGGCGUGCCUAAUACAUGCAAGUCGAACGCUUCUUUUUCCACCGGAGCUUGCUCCACCGGAAAAAGAGGAGUGGCGAACGGGUGAGUAACACGUGGGUAACCUGCCCAUCAGAAGGGGAUAACACUUGGAAACAGGUGCUAAUACCGUAUAACAAUCAAAA